rnacentral:rRNA from 1 species
GGGUUGUGAGGUUAAGCGACUAAGCGUACACGGUGGAUGCCCUGGCAGUCAGAGGCGAUGAAGGGCGUGCUAAUCUGCGAUAAGCGCCGGUAAGGUGAUAUGAACCGUUAUAACCGGCGAUACCCGAAUGGGGAAACCCAGUGUGAUUCGUCACACUAUCAUUAACUGAAUCCAUAGGUUAAUGAGGCGAACCGGGGGAACUGAAACAUCUAAGUACCCCGAGGAAAAGAAAUCAACCGAGAUUCCCCCAGUAGCGGCGAGCGAACGGGGAGGAGCCCAGAGCCUGAAUCAGCAUGUGUGUUAGUGGAAGCGUCUGGAAAGGCGCGCGAUACAGGGUGACAGCCCCGUACACAAAAGCGCAUGUGCUGUGAGCUCGAUGAGUAGGGCGGGACACGUGGUAUCCUGUCUGAAUAUGGGGGGACCAUCCUCCAAGGCUAAAUACUCCUGACUGACCGAUAGUGAACCAGUACCGUGAGGGAAAGGCGAAAAGAACCCCGGCGAGGGGAGUGAAAAAGAACCUGAAACCGUGUACGUACAAGCAGUGGGAGCACAGGUUUACCUGUGUGACUGCGUACCUUUUGUAUAAUGGGUCAGCGACUUAUAUUCUGUAGCAAGGUUAACCGAAUAGGGGAGCCGGAGGGAAACCGAGUCUUAAUUGGGCGUUAAGUUGCAGGGUAUAGACCCGAAACCCGGUGAUCUAGCCAUGGGCAGGUUGAAGGUUGGGUAACACUAACUGGAGGACCGAACCGACUAAUGUUGAAAAAUUAGCGGAUGACCUGUGGCUGGGGGUGAAAGGCCAAUCAAACCGGGAGAUAGCUGGUUCUCCCCGAAAGCUAUUUAGGUAGCGCCUCGUGAAUUCAUCUCCGGGGGUAGAGCACUGUUUCGGCUAGGGGGCCAUCCCGGCUUACCAACCCGAUGCAAACUGCGAAUACCGGAGAAUGUUAUCACGGGAGACACACGGCGGGUGCUAACGUCCGUCGUGAAGAGGGAAACAACCCAGACCGCCAGCUAAGGUCCCAAAGUCAUGGUUAAGUGGGAAACGAUGUGGGAAGGCCCAGACAGCCAGGAUGUUGGCUUAGAAGCAGCCAUCAUUUAAAGAAAGCGUAAUAGCUCACUGGUCGAGUCGGCCUGCGCGGAAGAUGUAACGGGGCUAAACCAUGCACCGAAGCUGCGGCAGCGACACUGUGUGUUGUUGGGUAGGGGAGCGUUCUGUAAGCCUGUGAAGGUGGCCUGUGAGGGUUGCUGGAGGUAUCAGAAGUGCGAAUGCUGACAUAAGUAACGAUAAAGCGGGUGAAAAGCCCGCUCGCCGGAAGACCAAGGGUUCCUGUCCAACGUUAAUCGGGGCAGGGUGAGUCGACCCCUAAGGCGAGGCCGAAAGGCGUAGUCGAUGGGAAACGGGUUAAUAUUCCCGUACUUGGUGUUACUGCGAAGGGGGGACGGAGAAGGCUAUGUUGGCCGGGCGACGGUUGUCCCGGUUUAAGCGUGUAGGUGUGUGUUCCAGGUAAAUCCGGUUCACUUUAACACUGAGGCGUGACGACGAGGCACUACGGUGCUGAAGCAACAAAUGCCCUGCUUCCAGGAAAAGCCUCUAAGCAUCAGGUAACACGAAAUCGUACCCCAAACCGACACAGGUGGUCAGGUAGAGAAUACCAAGGCGCUUGAGAGAACUCGGGUGAAGGAACUAGGCAAAAUGGUGCCGUAACUUCGGGAGAAGGCACGCUGACACGUAGGUGAAGUGAUUUACUCAUGGAGCUGAAGUCAGUCGAAGAUACCAGCUGGCUGCAACUGUUUAUUAAAAACACAGCACUGUGCAAACACGAAAGUGGACGUAUACGGUGUGACGCCUGCCCGGUGCCGGAAGGUUAAUUGAUGGGGUCAGCGCAAGCGAAGCUCCUGAUCGAAGCCCCGGUAAACGGCGGCCGUAACUAUAACGGUCCUAAGGUAGCGAAAUUCCUUGUCGGGUAAGUUCCGACCUGCACGAAUGGCGUAAUGAUGGCCAGGCUGUCUCCACCCGAGACUCAGUGAAAUUGAACUCGCUGUGAAGAUGCAGUGUACCCGCGGCAAGACGGAAAGACCCCGUGAACCUUUACUAUAGCUUGACACUGAACAUUGAGCCUUGAUGUGUAGGAUAGGUGGGAGGCUUUGAAGUGUGGACGCCAGUCUGCAUGGAGCCGACCUUGAAAUACCACCCUUUAAUGUUUGAUGUUCUAACGUGGACCCGUAAUCCGGGUUGCGGACAGUGUCUGGUGGGUAGUUUGACUGGGGCGGUCUCCUCCUAAAGAGUAACGGAGGAGCACGAAGGUUGGCUAAUCCUGGUCGGACAUCAGGAGGUUAGUGCAAUGGCAUAAGCCAGCUUGACUGCGAGCGUGACGGCGCGAGCAGGUGCGAAAGCAGGUCAUAGUGAUCCGGUGGUUCUGAAUGGAAGGGCCAUCGCUCAACGGAUAAAAGGUACUCCGGGGAUAACAGGCUGAUACCGCCCAAGAGUUCAUAUCGACGGCGGUGUUUGGCACCUCGAUGUCGGCUCAUCACAUCCUGGGGCUGAAGUAGGUCCCAAGGGUAUGGCUGUUCGCCAUUUAAAGUGGUACGCGAGCUGGGUUUAGAACGUCGUGAGACAGUUCGGUCCCUAUCUGCCGUGGGCGCUGGAGAACUGAGGGGGGCUGCUCCUAGUACGAGAGGACCGGAGUGGACGCAUCACUGGUGUUCGGGUUGUCAUGCCAAUGGCACUGCCCGGUAGCUAAAUGCGGAAGAGAUAAGUGCUGAAAGCAUCUAAGCACGAAACUUGCCCCGAGAUGAGUUCUCCCUGAGACUUAGAGUCUCCUGAAGGAACGUUGAAGACGACGACGUUGAUAGGCCGGGUGUGUAAGCGCAGCGAUGCGUUGAGCUAACCGGUACUAAUGAACCGUGAGGCUUAACCUUACAACGCCGAAG